rnacentral:tRNA from 1 species
UGGGGUGUGGCUCAGAGGUAGAGCAUUUGCCUAGCAUGCCCAAGGCCCUGGGUUCAAUCCCCAGCACCACAU